CUUUUCUCUUUCUCUUCGGUACCCUUUUUAACUGUUCCUUCCUUUUCAAUCCUCUCUAAUUCCAGGGCUUGUGAGAUUAGUUUUGAGAAAUUCUGGUAUUGUAACCCCACUACUUGCAUUCUCAAAUUAGGCCUUAACCCGGGCUCAAAAUUUUUACACCGAUAUCGGUUAGUGGUAAGCAGGCUUCCAGCAUAAUGACUCAGCCUGGAAAAGUCUCUCUCAUACUCUGCAACUGUUCUGUCCCCUUAUUUCAAGCUCAGGAACUCUUGCAAUUUCAUAUCAACAUACAUGUCAUGGACCCAUUUCUAUCAGAAUUUCCUCAAAAAGUCAGACCAUGUGAGGACUAGAGGCUCAACUAAGCUGUGGGGGAUGGUUUUUCACCAUUCAUAAGCAUCUCCUAUUGCAGUAAAAAAAUGGAUUACUCAAAUUUUAGUUCUUAUGUACAAUGCAACUUCUUGAAUACUCUCUCCAUCCUUUCAAUCCAUUGCUUGGCUUCCAGUGGAUCCACAGUCCCUUUGAAUUCAAUAGCCCCAAACUUCAUUAGUUUGUCAUACUGCCUAGCUGGAGGUUGUAGUUGUACUGAUGGGGUUUGAAUUGGGGCUUGGAUGGGUAUAUCUCCA
rnacentral:misc_RNA from 1 species